rnacentral:snoRNA from 13 species
UGUGUGCUGGAGGAUGAAAGUAAGGAGUGAUCCAUCGGCUGAGUGUCUUACCACAAUGCUGAAGCUCACACUGCUGACAGCACACA